UGGCUCUAUGAUCCCAUGGUUCUAUGAUAUCAUGGUUCUAUGAUGUCAUGACUUUGAUUCUAUGAUGUCCUGGCUCUAUGAUAUCAUGAUUCCAUGGCGCUUUCCAUGAUUCUACUGUUCAAUAACUUCAUGAUCCCACGGUUCUGUGUUUCUGCGGUCCCAUGUCGCUAUGACUCUGUGAUUCCCUGACCUUGGGUCUGGCCUGGAAUUACAUCCUUGAAGAGAAACGCGAUAAACUCACAUUGAUCAGCAGCAGAGGGCGUCCAACACACGCGUGUCCCUAAAUCCCGGCCCCGAGCUCCAACAGCAGAUCCAACGGUGGCCAAAACUCUUACUCGGAGCGCGGCCGAUGCUUCCCCGCCAAUUGUGCCGCUGCCCCAGGUUUCCUUCCCCGCUCCCUGCUCGGUGCCAUACGGGAGGUGCAGACCCAAUUGUUCGCCCUGUGGCCCCUGCAGACAGGAUACGAGCCCAGUGCCAGGCUCAAAGUUCACCCCAAAUCCCAAUGCCAGUCAGAGCUGGAGUGAUCCAGGCGAUCUCCAUCCUGGAGCUUUGAGAGGAACACUUCACACCCACCUCCUCUGCGCUGACCUUCAGCAGGAGCAGCUCUCCCUUGGGUGUGCCUGCACUGAGCUGCUCUUCUCUGACAGUUCACUCACCCCAUGUCUUGCCACCCAUCACCUUUCCUCUCUUCCCUUGUCAGUCGGGGCUGACUCACUGCCAGGCUGUGCCAGGCCCUGCACAAUCCCUCUGGCUCCUCAGAGAGGAUGGCCACAGUCUGCAGGGUGAGCACAGCCUUGGGAGGCCACUGUCACCCAUCUGGGGACAGCUCAGGAGGGGAGAGGAGAGGAGAGGAGAGGAGAGGAGAGGAGACUUAAGUUUCCAGGGGAAAACACUAAGGUGGUGCUGAGGACACCAGUAACUGUGGGUUAUCUGCAGUUCUGCCUGUGCCUGUGAAGUUGGGAUGUUGGAUGAGUUGGAUAUGUACCUCAUGCCUUUCCCCAACCUCAAAUGAAGAUUAUGGACCCAAAUCACAGGAAUUUUCUCCCAGAUGCAGAGCACCAACCCUACUGAAGAGAUUCCCACUCUGAAUGCGGCUAGUGCCCACUGCUUUCCUGGCUAACUUCAUGGAAGGACACCAAAGUCAGGGCUUCAGCAAUAUUUCCAGUCUAGUUGGGUUUCCCUGGG
rnacentral:lncRNA from 1 species